AUGACUUGAAGAGAUUUCGUUGUGAAGUUACAUUCAUUUUCUUCUUCUUAUUUUCUUCAAGAGAAGAAUGUAAAUGAUAUUGACAGAGACCAAAAGCAGGAGAAGAAGAAGAGCAUCACAAACAUGGAGAAUGAAGAAGAAUGUUCAAGUGGAAGAGUAAGAAGAAACGUGAGAACGUGAAGCCCAAAUCCCAAACACUAGAAACCAGAACGCAAACAAGAUUGCCCGGUAAUAUGCUGAUUUCAACAAAGACAAGAAAAUGAGAUACCUUUUACAUACUGAAGAAGAUGACUAUUGUUAAAGCACAUAGGCCACCCAGGAGCACUCUUUGCAGUUCGCUGUUCAAAGGUACAAAGAUCACAUAUAACAUCAGCCUUUUAACAUUUUCUUCUAACAUAAAGAGGAUUAGUGUGAUCAACAAACAUGCAUACUUUUCAAACACGAGGAGCGAUGAGCCAAGCCAAAGUAACAGUGAGUAAUCCUGUAUCGAGUAGUAUCCCUCUGUACCUUCACCAGCCCAUUUAGUCUUUCUGCCCUCCAUAAGCAAGAUAUCAAAGCUUACUAUACCCAAAGGUUGUUCAGAUGUGACCUGAGAAGAUGCAUCAGCUCCAGCAGCAGCGGUGGUUCCAUGGACUUGUUGCAGAGUGAAGCUUUUGUCCCUCAGUUCCUGUACCAGCCUUCUGAUUAUUUCAACUCCUGGCAGGACCCGCCAGAGCAGAAACCAUUCUUGAACUGGAGUUUUGCUCCACAGGGAUGGAAAAGAAAGAGAGUGAAAUGUUUUUGCGUGUGUUGUGAUGUGUUAGAGAGAAGUUCUCAGUCAUCUUUGUUUCUUAGUAGUGAAAAAGAUUGUAGUGUGUUAAAUAGUAUCUUAGCAUCAUCAAUGUUUCAUUUGUUGGCAAGUUCUUGUUAUUUCAAUCAAAAGUUUAUAUGAAAUAAUA